UUGAAAGGGAAACGAUUGAAGUCAGUCGUACCGACGAGAAAUCAGCUUUUCGAAUGUGCAUUUGUGGGCGUAUGAGAUCUUCAUUGUUUGCAAUAUGUAUGUUUCUUUGGUGUACUUUUUCGUAUGGUAGGUCAACGUCGGUUCUGAUCGCCAUAAAAUGAUCGGAGGAAUGUAGCUUCGGCCUCGGUUGAAGUGUUAUAGCCUUUGGUAAAUGUGGUGAUUAAGACCGAGGAUUGCAACGAAUACCUUUUAGGCUAUCCGUCUGACCUCUGAAAGUUACUUAGGUGUCGAAAGCUUGCUUACGGUCAUUUAAGUUGACGGUCAAUAGGUUAGAACGUGAUUACAUUCGUUAAGGAUGUUGACGUA
rnacentral:rRNA from 1 species